ACAGCCAUUUCCAUGCCUGCA
rnacentral:misc_RNA from 1 species